rnacentral:rRNA from 1 species
GAGUUUGAUCAUGGCUCAGGACGAACGCUGGCGGCAUGCCUAACACAUGCAAGUCGAACGGAUGUAUAGCAAUAUACAUUAGUGGCGAACGGGUGAGUAACACGUGAGCAACCUGCCCUGUACAACGGGAUAACACAGAGAAAUUUGUGCUAAUACCGUAUAAGACCCCGAUACCGCAUGGUAUAGAGGUAAAAAUGAUUUAGUGGUACAGGAUGGGCUCGCGUCCCAUUAGCUAGUUGGUGAGAUAACAGCCCACCAAGGCAACGAUGGGUAGCCGACUUGAGAGAGUGAUCGGCCACACUGGAACUGAGACACGGUCCAGACUCCUACGGGAGGCAGCAGUGGGGAAUAUUGGGCAAUGGAGGAAACUCUGACCCAGCAAUGCCGCGUGAGGGAUGAAGGCCUUCGGGUUGUAAACCGCUUUUAUAAGAGAAGAUUAUGACGGUAACUUAUGAAUAAGGGACGGCUAACUACGUGCCAGCAGCCGCGGUAC